UACGGAGGAUGCAAGUGUUAUCCGGAAUCACUGGGCGUAAAGCGUCUGUAGGUGGUUUAAUAAGUCAACUGUUAAAUCUUGAGGCUCAACCUCAAAAUCGCAGUCGAAACUAUUAGGCUAGAGUAUAGUAGGGGUAAAGGGAAUUUCCAGUGGAGCGGUGAAAUGCGUAGAGAUUGGAAAGAACACCGAUGGCGAAGGCACUUUACUGGGCUAUUACUAACACUGAGAGACGAAAGCUAGGGUAGCAAAUGGG
rnacentral:rRNA from 1 species